UAAAAAUUAAGACUAAAAUAUCCUCUUCCUUCACCUCCCGAGUCCCCACGACCAAUCUUUCUCACCAGUCUCUAAAAGCAACCAUACUUGACUAAACCUUCACUCGAUCACCAUCGAAGACAUAUAUCAUUACUGCCAAGAACAGCUCCAUCAACUCAACGGCUUUCAUCUCAGAACCAAUCAACAACAACAUCCAUCACCGUUGUGUUCAACCUAUUCUCUGUGUUCAAUCUAUUCUCUGUUGUUAAACCAUGGUUGCAUCAUCACCAGUGGUGGUUGUGAAUCUUGUAACGGUGGUUGCAGUGGCAAGUGAAAAGAGGAACAGAGAAGGUGAUGCCAGCGGCGGUAGGAGAAGGAAGAGAAGGGUUCCCACACUUAUUAUGUAAAAUGUUAUGAAAUUGAAAGACAUAAUAGUAAACUCGAUUAAUAAUUGUAUUUGCUUUUCUUUUUUCUUUUUCU